rnacentral:lncRNA from 1 species
CACCAUCAAACCCUUUGUUGGAAAGUAAAAUUCUCGAGAUCGAAAAUAAAUAAUCGAGACAAGAAAAAUAUUGCAACAAUCAAUUUAUUGAUUUCAAUAUGUGAGUGUUACAAUCUCUAUGAAUCCUCUGAUUCGCCUUUUCAAAUAUAAAUUUUCAAGGGCUUAAAGCUUGAUCUUGAAUUUGAACUUGGUUUGUUGGUUUGAGGGACUUGAUCUUGACUUAUGAUUGAAUUCAAGGGCUUUUGAGCUUGUUCUUGAAUAAUGCGGUCUUGAUCUUGAAUCUUGAUGAAUUUGAUUUGAAUGCUUGAGCUUUGUAGAGAAAUUGUGGCCUUUGAUCCACGAGCUUUCUCUUACU